CAGUGUGUAGCUCAGUCUGGCAGAGCGCAUCCUUGGGGUGGAUGAGGCCGCUGGUUCAAAUCCAGUCACGCUGA
rnacentral:tRNA from 1 species